CAAUGAAUGAAUGAGUAAACAAGCCAGAAUAAUCGGACCCAGAAAUAUGCUGAAGGGAUAUAAAUGCCUAGCAAGAAGAAGGAACCAGCCCAGGAAGCCAGCCCAUUAUCCAGAGGAACCAACCAAGGAAGCCAGCCUGCUCUCUAGAAGCUAGACUUGUAGGAAGCCAGACCACUGUCUCUAGCAACUGAUCCAGGAAGACAGAAAAGAACACCUCAAUAACAGGACCAAAGUGGCCAGGACUUG
rnacentral:lncRNA from 1 species